rnacentral:rRNA from 1 species
UAAUGCAGUCGAGCGACGGAAAGGAGCUUGCUCCUUUGAAGUUAGCGGCGGACGGGUGAGUAACACGUGGGUAACCUACCUAUAAGACUGGAAUAACUUCGGGAAACCGGAGCUAAUGCCGGAUAACAUUUGGAACCGCAUGGUUCUAAAGUAAAAGAUGGUUUUGCUAUCACUUAUAGAUGGACCCGCGCCGUAUUAGCUAGUUGGUAAGGUAACGGCUUACCAAGGCAACGAUCCGUACCCAACCUGAGAGGGUGAUCGGCCACACUGGAACUGAAACACGGCCCAAACUCCUACGGGAGGCAGCAGUAGGGAAUCUUCCGCAAUGGACGAAAGUCUGACGGACCACCGCCCCGGGAGUGAUGAAGGUUUUCGGAUCGUAAAACUCUUUUAUUAGGGAAAAACAAAUGUGUAAGUAACUGUGCACAUCUUGACGGUCCCUAAUCAAAAGGCCACGGCUAAUUACUUGCCAGCCACCCAAAAA